UGAUCAUUUUCAUAUUAUUAGUAUUAUUUUUUUAAUUAAAUGGAAAAUAAUCUAGAGUCUUCUUUUCUUCUUCUUCUUCGUGACCUCCCUCCCUCUUCUCGUUCUCUCUCUCUAUCUCCCUCCGCCACCACUUGUCAUCGAUGUCUGCAAUUGAACAAAACGAUCAGCCAAACGCACUGCCACCAAGUCUUCGCACUUAAUUCACGCCUGCCGCCUCCAACAAACUAGCUUUUUGACCCUUCAACUGUUGCUCUCUUCUGCAGGUUUUAUUGGUUGCAACGCUGCAGCCAUGUCUCCCACAACUCGUUGGAGUUCGCCAUCAUUUGGGGUUUCACCGGAAUUGGCGCUUCACUGCAAGCGCGAUGCUCAACUAUUUGUCUAGCUCAUGCGCAUAGUGGAUCUUGAAGUUCUACAGCGAGUUGUGGCUGUCAAAAAUUGGAACCUCUUUCUUGCGUUGCUCGAUCAUUGGUACAACUCGAUCUUGUCGCCGGUUGUUGGAUAUAUCUUAGAGUUUUCGAUUUGAAUUAUGGAAGAGUUUGAGUUGCAGUCUAGCUAUUCGAAAGCUCAAAAUUCGGCACUUUGGCACAACUUGGUUGGAGUUUAUCAUCCGAAGGUGAACGGCUUCGGCUGACAUCACGUCACGUCUCAAAUCGAGAAAGUAGAUGUCCUGGGCGAGGUGUGACACUUUUUGCUUUAUAUAUUGCAGAAGCUCCUUCUGAAAGUUGUUAUACCAAGUGGGAAGCCACUCAUGUUUGGGUUGGUCCUUCGCCUAGCUACCUUAUUUUUUCUGCUUAUAAGAUUUGUUAUGGGUGAACAAGAUCAAUAAAGUUUUUAAGUUGUGCCACAAACA